GGCCUCGGCUUGUUCCUGGAGAUGGAAGUGUGACCUGGACAUCAGGGCCAUAUGCUGGAUGGCCUUGCCUGGUGGCUUGCGGCACUCUUCGCCUGCUGGUGGACUCGUCAGAACGGUUUGCUGUCAGCAGAGCAGCAUUGCCCUUAUUAACUGUUGCCAAAGCUACUUCCAAAAUGCCAGGAGACGUGCUGGGGUCUAAACUUGGCAAUCUUAGGGAGUCAAGUCGGCCCCUGUAGGUGGAGAAGCAAGAAGGAAGCCGGCCGGCCCACCCUCAGUGUGAACAGUUAGAAGAACCAUCUGGCUACAUCAUGCCCAUUAUUUUUCUUCUGCUUGGGCGCCAUUUGAAAAUGUGCUAGGACACUCUCUCGCCUUGAAAGAAAAAGGAAGAAGAUUGCAGAGGAGUGAAGUGAUGUCCAAAAUCAUGCGUAAAGUAACCACGUCAGGAUUUCUGUCCAUGUUCAUCUAAUUCUAAAGUUCAUGCGCAUGCCAAGUGGAAAAACAGCUGCUUAAAGGCCCUAUGAUCUCAAUGGUAGUCAAAAUAGUCACUUUAAAAGCAGGCUGGCCAGACUUCUUACACAGAAGCUCAAGGAUCUCCAAAGAACAAAAGUCAAAGCUUCCAGAACUUAAGAGACAGCAAAAAAAGAGCACAAUAUCUUUCUAUCAUAUUCUUUUGACUAAAUCAAGUCCUAGGCCCAGCCUGGAUUCAAGGAGAAGCAUGAAUACUGAGAAAUGUGGUUAAAUGGAGGUACGAAUUCAACAGACUACUACAGUCCACCUCCCGACCCUCAAUGGCUCAUAUUUUCAUCAUAUAUAUUAUAUACUU